rnacentral:rRNA from 1 species
UACGUAGGGGGCGAGCGUUGUCCGGAAUUAUUGGGCGUAAAGGGUCCGUAGGCGGUCGUGCAAGUUUGGGGUGACAGUGCCCAGCUUAACUGGGUAAGUGCUUCGAAAACUGCGCGACUUGAGGGCUUCAGAGGGAUGCGGAACUCCGGGUGGAGUGGUGAAAUGCGUAGAUAUCCGGAAGAACACCAAAGGCGAAGGCAGCAUCCUGGGAAGUACCUGACGCUCAGGGACGAAAGCUAGGGGAGCGAACAGG